CAGAGAUUUGCACAGAUUAAUGCCAGCCUGCUGGUUGCUACAGGAUUAGUGAAGACAUAACCUUCUAAAGCAGGCACAGCCUUUUUCAUUUGAUUUGUUCCGUGUCCUCAGACCACUGUGACACCUAGACAAAAGGACACUUAUCAACUGCACCUGUCAUGUGCUGAGUUUGUCCACAACUGCAAUUUGGAUAUUUACACUGACUCAUUGUGCGAUGACCUUGGCCAGUUGGACACCUGUUCUGCGGAAUCCAUUAUCUGCUCCAACUCAGGGUGGGAGUAAAGCUGCUCUGCCUGCCUGAAUGCAACCUUCAACUUCAAAGUAAUGCAGUUUUUACUAAAGGAUGUAGGAGUGAAGUACAGACUGAAGGUCUUUGGAUUCCCUGUCAACCUAGAAAACAUAACUCCCUAGCCUUGGAUUCCUCAACCUUGUACCCAGAGAUGAUGCGGGACAAAACUGUGAACCCCUGCCACUACCACGAGAAUAUGCCUGAGCUAACCUGCUGGAAGGAUAUGAGAGUCUACUCAUUUCAUCUGGGCCAUUCUACAGCAGCCAAGAGCCAGAUGAUCCCCAAACGCGUCUGGUAUCCUGCCUAAGAUCAUUGGAGCCACCUACCCAACCUGCAGCUGACCACAGAUGCAUGAAAGAGCCCAAUCAAAACCAGAAGAAACCCCCAGCCCACCCAUGGACACAUGAGCAAUAGUAAGUGAUUAUUGUUUUAAUCAAUUAAUCACUUUAAUCGUAAUACAGACAAAAAGAAACUUGCAACAAGCAAGAGUAACUUGUUAUGCAAAAUUAUUAGAGCAAUAGGUGAAUGAUACAGAGCUGCAUCUGCUAGGCAAAGGAACCCACUAGGUUCAUAAAACAUCUGCUGAGCACAAAUCAACAUUUGUGCUCAACAAAUCAUACAAACUUGGGGAGACAGGGCUAAAAUUUAAAAAAAAAGUGUGAGUACUUCAAUUUGAGGUACUCAUACAAAAUAUUAUUACAUACAUACAAAACAACCGCAUACAAAACACUGGAGGGAGAUAGGGUUUAAAAUGCUUGAGGUGACUCCCAAAGGUAAUAAGAAGACAAAGUUAUGCUAAAGUAUAAAUGUGAGUUGGCAAUAUUAAAUAAUUGAUUUUAUUAAGUAAUUCAGUGAGACUGUAAGCUCCAUGAAAGUGACAACUGUGCUUAUCUUGUUUACGAAAAUAGUGCCUGCACAUAGUAGAUUGUUAAUAAAUAUUUGUUGAAUUGCUAGAUGAAUGCCUAGAAAAUGACCAGUCUAGGUAGGUUAUUUAAUUUGCUUUCAGCUUCAACUAACAAAAUACCCAAAUAACA
rnacentral:lncRNA from 10 species